UGCCAGCCGCCGCGGUAAUACGGAGGUCCCAAGCGUUGUUCGGAAUCACUGGGCGUAAAGCGUGUGUAGGCUGCGCGGUAAGUCAGAUGUGAAAUCUCAGAGCUCAACUCUGAAACUGCAUCCGAUACUGCCGCGCAAGAGUAAUGGAGGGGUAACUGGAAUUCUCGGUGUAGCAGUGAAAUGCGUGGAUAUCGAGAGGAAGACCAAUGGCGAAGGCAGGUUACUGGACAUUUACUGACGCUGAGGCUCGAAAGCUAGGGGAGCAAACAGGAUUAGAUA
rnacentral:rRNA from 1 species